UGCUUGCUCCAUUCAGUAGUUAUUAUAUUCAAUCUCAAGUAGGCCAGCAUUUUAGCCACCAGUCAAGAGAUUUCUAUAAAGUUUGCGAGGUGCAGAAAUCCUUGGCAUGUAUUUUAUUGGGUGCUUUAAAUGUACUAUAUAAAGCAUUAGUGUGGAGAAAUUAUAAAAAUUAUAACACUCUAACCAUUUCAUUUUUAAAAUGAGUUAUCUGUAUAUUAAGUGCUGAUGGUGUAAGUUAAAAGCACAUAGGGAGAGCUUAAAUACAUGAGUGGGGCACAAAAUGCAUGCUCAUUUUCCAUUUUUCUCUGGCCACUUUCAGGUAUAAUACAUAUCAUUUAACUGCCUAAUCCAUUAACAAGGAUGGUUUCUCACCUGCAUGUGCCUAAAUGGAAGUCUAGAAAUAUCCCGGUUCAAGACUGCAGCGGGUGAAUAUAUCCAGAAAACUUAUAAGACGAAAACUGCACAAGUUACUGGGUGUCUGAAGAUGUCAGGAGGCAACAUGGAAUUUUUAAUGUGCUGGAAUGUAAAAGAACCACUUGCUGAGAAAGUUUCUUAAGCAUUCCUAUCAGCGUGAAAUAGGUAAGGAUCCUACUGGGCACAGUGUAACUCUUGUGGAUAAAUGGUACAUAUCAAGAAAUCUGUUGACUUAUCAUCUAGUGACAGCCGUUCAACUACCUUUCUCCCUACUGUGGAGAGUUGCUGGCUGAAUCAUUAGAAGUUGAUUAAUAGUCAAAAAAGAAGAAUCUGCUAGGAUGUAGGAAAUAGGCACUCUCACACACACUGCAGCAGAGGAUGAAAUUGGUUCAACUUUUUGUGACGGGGCAUUUAGCAUGAAUAUAUACAGUCUUAAGUUCAGGUUGCUCUUUGACUUAACAAUUGCACAGUUACAAAAUAAUUCUAGAGACAUAAUCAGAUAAAUGUGCAAAGAUGUAUAUACAAGGAUGUUCACUGCAGCAUUGUUUAUAAUAAUGAAAAAUUAGAAACUGCCUAAAUGGUCAAUAAAGCAGGCUUGGUAAUGAUACUGUUAUAAGACAGAAUAAUAUGGGCAUGUUUUCAAAUGCUAUAAAAACUCCAUAAUGAUAUAAAAAUUUUUCAUAAAUAUCCAUAAUGUCAAGUGAAUAAAAGCAAAACAAAAAGCUGUAUGUUUAGGUAACAUUCUGCAUUUGUAAUAAAAUAUUUGUUUAUAUACUUCAAAAAACGAUAGGAAUACGUAUCAAAAGGCACAAGAAUUGUGCUAGUGUGUUGGUGCUAUCAUAGGUGAUCUUAUUUUCUUCUUAAACUUAUCUGCCAUAAACAUAAUUUGGCUUUAUAAUCACUCAAACAUAAUUGUAAAUUAGGAAGCCUGCCUUUGUGCUGCCAGAGCAGAGGUUUUUAUCUCUUUUCUUCACUGCUCUGUGCCCAACAGCUAGAAUAAUGUCUGGCUAUAUUAGAGGCUCAAUAAAUCUCUGUUUAAUGAAUAAAUAUUCACUGUGUUCUAUAUUCUCAAGCAUUAAUGGAGAUUGAGCACCUUCUCAGGACAGUUGUGCUGAAAUAAAUGGGAGCCUAAAUGACUCAACUUCCCAAAGGAACCUUCAUGUACAGAACAAUACCAGAGGUUUAAGGCAGUAAAUUAAUGCUUUAAGAUAUCCCCAGUUUAAUUUACAUUAUUUGUAGAGUUUAAGGUGGGAGCCAGGUGUCAAAAUAGAUAACAAAUGGCUGUGCCUAAAAAAUUACUCAUCCAUUUGUUUAUCCAUUUAUUCAACAGACAUUUGUUGCAUGCUAAUUUCUUAUGUGUGUUGUGAAAAGUGCUGGGAGUAUAACAUCAAACAGGUAAAGAUCUGCAGUUUAAUAUUUCAUAGUGUUGGCUGCCCAACAUCUCCUUCUUUGUGUUUGGAGAA
ensembl:lncRNA